GGGUGCUAAUGAACCGGAUAAGCCCACGGGAGCUUCGGCUCUUGCGGGAAAAGGUGGCCUCUAUUUAUAAGCUACUGUUUCAGGAUGGGUCCGCGUCCCAUUAGCUAGUUGGUGGUGUAAUGGACCACCAAGGCGACGAUGGGUAGCUGGUCUGAGAGGAUGAUCAGCCACACUGGAACUGAGACACGGUCCAGACUCCUACGGGAGGCAGCAGUGGGGAAUUUUGCGCAAUGGGGGGAAACCCUGACGCAGCAACGCCGCGUGAGUGAUGAAGGCCCUUGGGUCGUAAAGCUCUGUCAGAGGGAAAGAAGUGUACGGGUGCUAAUACCACUUGUACUUGACGGUACCCUCAAAGGAAGCACCGGCUAACUCCGUGCCAGCAGCCGCGGUAA
rnacentral:rRNA from 1 species